rnacentral:rRNA from 1 species
UACGAAGGGGGCUAGCGUUGCUCGGAUUGACUGGGCGUAAAGGGCGCGUAGGCGGUUUGCAUAGUCAGACGUGAAAUUCCUGGGCUUAACCUGGGGGCUGCGUUUGAUACAUGCAGGCUUGAGUUCGGAAGAGGGUCGUGGGAAUUCCCAGUGUAGAGGUGAAAUUCGUAGAUAUUGGGAAGAACACCGGUGGCGAAGGCGGCGACCUGGUCCGAUACUGACGCUGAGGCGCGAAAGCGUGGGGAGCAAACAGG